CUUGUCUGGGGCUACAAUAUAAAUGUGUACUGUUGGGGUAACACUGUGCUAGGCCAACAAGCGGAUAAGGCAGUGAUGUAGGAACGCCGGAUGUCCCAACUCCACCAUUUCCUUCAUGCCAAACUGACUUUUUUUAUGUACAGACGUGUAAACUGGAACAUUGGUACAUUGUGGGAGGCAACCAGUCUGUCUAGAGAGACUACCAUCUGGCAAAAGCAUAUACAGUCGACCCUCUACCUCCCCAUUGCCACCAGCUGAAGAUCACAUCUUCUGAUCCUCUUUCACCCAGCUGGAGGAGUUCUGAUUCUAGCUUUCCAUCAAAUGGCUACCUGCCAUUCUGCCGCCUGGCUCCGGGGAUCAUCCUCCGGAAGAUGGGUUCAUCACCAAAAUAUAUUUUCAUUAACUUUCACAUUUGCAUUCAGUUUUUGUUGUUCAUUCAGUUAAGCCUGUAUUCGAUUGAACUAAAGUACAUUUAUAUCAUAUGAAGGUUCUCAAAGAAAUCCAUUUGUCUCCUAAAAUAAACCUUUUUGAAGAAAAUUACCGUACAAGGAUGGUGG
rnacentral:lncRNA from 1 species